rnacentral:siRNA from 1 species
UUGGAUGACCGCCGAAUACCAUC